rnacentral:rRNA from 1 species
UACGUAGGCACCAAGCGUUGUCCGGAUUUAUUGGGCGUAAAGAGCUCGUAGGCGGUUCGGUAAGUCGGAUGUGAAAUCUUUGGGCUCAACCCAAAGCGUGCACUCGAUACUGCCGUGACUGGAGUUCGGUAGGGGAGCGGGGAAUUCCUAGUGUAGCGGUGAAAUGCGCAGAUAUUAGGAGGAACACCGGUGGCGAAGGCGCCGCUCUGGGCCGAUACUGACGCUGAGGAGCGAAAGCGUGGGUAGCUAACAGG